CAUGGAGUGCCUACUUGAACGAUAUUCAAAAGGAAAAGAAGAGAUGGAAGGAAACUGUUGCUUCAUUUUCUGUUCAUGGAAGGGGAGAGAGAAUAUCUGAGUUUGAUGGGAGCAGGCACAGACAGCAGAAGAGUUCAUCUGUUCCACAGUAUCAGCUUACUGAGCAACGUUAUCC